GUUCCUGGACUGUAUAAAAUAGAAGAAUUGGAACCCUUGCUAUCUCCUCUAAAGGAUCAAGCUUCACAAGAUGGAUUUACAGGGCCCAUUUUCAACUAUUUCACAUACAGAAUCCAACAGAAUCUGCAUGUUGUCUUGAUCAUGGAUUCUACCAAUUUAAAUUUUGCAAUAAAUUGUGAAAGUAAUCCAGCACUGUACAAGAAAUGUCAGGUCUUGUGGAUGGAAUGCUGGUCUGAAAACAGUAUGAAAAAGAUACCUGAAAUGCUUUUGAAAGAUUCUGAUGAACA